rnacentral:rRNA from 1 species
UACGGAGGGGGCUAGCGUUGUUCGGAAUUACUGGGCGUAAAGCGCGCGUAGGCGGAUCUGCAAGUCGGGGGUGAAAUCCCGAGGCUCAACCUCGGAACUGCCUUCGAUACUGCGGGUCUCGAGUCCGGGAGAGGUGAGUGGAAUUCCUAGUGUAGAGGUGAAAUUCGUAGAUAUUAGGAAGAACACCAGUGGCGAAGGGCGGCUCACUGG